rnacentral:rRNA from 1 species
UACGAAGGGGGCUAGCGUUGUUCGGAUUUACUGGGCGUAAAGCGCACGUAGGCGGAUCUUUAAGUCAGAGGUGAAAUCCCAAGGCUCAACCUUGGAACUGCCUUUGAUACUGGGGAUCUUGAGUCCGGGAGAGGUGAGUGGAACUGCGAGUGUAGAGGUGAAAUUCGUAGAUAUUCGCAAGAACACCCGUGGCGAAGGCGGCUCUCUGGGACGGUACUGACGCUGAGACGCGAAAGCGUGGGGAUCAAACAGG